rnacentral:rRNA from 1 species
GAGUUUGAUCCUGGCUCAGAUUUAACGCUAGCGAUAUGCAUUACACAUGCAAGUUGUACGAUAAUUUAUUAUAGUAGCAAACGGGUGAGUAAUAUAUCUAAACAUACCUUAAAGUUUGAUAUACUUUUGUGAAAACAUUAUUAAUAUCAAAUAGAUUAUUUUUAUAAAGAAAUAAGAAAGUUUUUAUUAAUAAAAAUUAUAUAAACGCUUUUAGAUUGGUAGAUAUCAGAUUAGUUUGUAGGUGAGAUAAAAGCUCUACCUAGACUAUGAUCUGUAGUUGUUCUGAGAGGAAGAUCAACCACAUCGGGACUGAGACAAGGCCCGAACCUCUAAGGAGGGCAGCAGUGGGGAAUUUUGGACAAUGAGCGAAAGCUUGAUCCAGCAAUAUCGCGUGUAUGAAGAAGGUCGAAAGAUUGUAAAAUACUUUUUUUAGAGAAUAAAAUUUCAAAAAUAAAAAAUUUGAAAAUGAAAAUUCUAAAGAAUAAGUACCGGCUAAUUACGUGCCAGCAGCCGCGGUAAUACGUAAGGUGCGAGCGUUAAUCGGAAUUAUUGGGCGUAAAGAGUAUGUAGGUUGUUUAUUAUGAUAAUUAUAAAAUCACAAGUCAUAAAUUUGUAAAGUAAUUAUUACUAAUAUUCUAGAAUAUAGUAUAGAGGAAAGCGGAAUUUUGCAAGUAGUAGUGAAAUGCGUAGAUAUGCAAAGGAACACCAAUGGCGAAGGCAGCUUUCUGGGUUUAUAUUGACACUGAGAUACGAAAGCGUGGGGAGCAAACAGGAUUAGAUACCCUGGUAGUCCACGCCCUAAACGAUGUCAAUUAAUUAUUAGAUUUUUAUUUGAUAAUAAAGCUAACGCGUUAAAUUGACCGCCUGGGUACUACGAUCGCAAGAUUAAAACUCAAAGGAAUUGACGGGGACCUGCACAAGCGGUGGAUGAUGUGGAUUAAUUCGAUGUAACACGAAAAACCUUACCUACUCUUGACAUGUAUAGAAUCUUUAAAAUAGAGUGCCUUAUAGGAACUAUAACACAGGUGUUGCAUGGCUGUCGUCAGCUCGUGUCGUGAGAUGUUAGAUUAAUUUCUAAAACGAGCGCAACCCUUACUUUUUAUAUUCUAAUUUUAGAAAAAUAAAAGAACUGCCAAAAUUGGAGGAAGGAAAGGACGACGUCAAGUCAUCAUGGCCCUUAUGAGUAGGGCUUCACACGUCAUACAAUGGUUAAUACAAAAAGCAAAACUUAAAAUUAAUCUCAGUUCGGAUUGAAAUCUGCAACUCGGUUUCAUAAAGUAGGAAUCGCUAGUAAUCGCAAAUCAGCAUGUUGCGGUGAAUACGUUCUCAGGUCUUGUACACACCGCCCGUCACACCAUGGAAAUAUUUUUUAUUGGAAAAAGAAGAAUUACUUUAUUAGGAUUUUUUCUUUUAUAGUAAAGAAUAUAACUGGGGUGAAGUCGUAACAAGGUAGCUGUAUCGGAAGGUGCGGCUGGAU